rnacentral:lncRNA from 1 species
AUUUUGAAAACUUGGGACUCAGCAAGACCCUACAUCAAAAUUUUUAAAAUUAAUAAUAAUAGUAAGCGGGGGAGGCUGAGGAUAUAGCUCAGUGCAAAGGUCCUGGGUUCAGUCCUUAAUACUUGGGGGGAAAAAGUGAAGACUUGAAUACUCUAUUGUUCCGUGUAGCCUUCUAGGAACUCUCAAACCUCUAACUUCUUAGCCACCACAUAACUACAGAUGGAACAAAGGAUGAGAUUAAUGACUAAGAAGAAGCCAGGAAGCCAGGCCUGGUGGUGCACGCCUGUAAUCCAGCACUCGGGAGGCUGAGGCAGGAGGAUCGCUGUGAGUUCGAGGCCAGCAUGGGCUACACAGUGAGUUCCAGGUCAGUCUCAACUACAUAGUGAGACCCUGUCUCAAAAAACCAAAACCAAAAACAAAACAUUUUCUUUUUUUGCCACAAUAGAUGAACUAAUGAACUAAGUGGUUAAAGCCAAUGCAGGAUCCUGGACCAGAAAGAGAAUGUCGCUGUUUCACUGGCUGGGCAAAUAAACAGCAGCAAUUUUGCGAAAGCCAAAGGAAGACUGAAUUUCUCAGAACCCUAACGCACACAAGUGAACUUCAGGAAGUAUUGCAACUCUUCUUUUCUUUUUUUAGAAAGGGGUGGGCAGCCAAAGGAUCAAAGGAAACAUUCACCAACAGGACUGGGUUUCCUCCCCACACACUGGGGGCGUCGAUGUUACUCAAACAGUUCACAAAUGUCCUCCACAAAUAUACCAGGGCCGGUGCAUGUAGCUCAGGGGUAGAGGACUUUCUUUCCUCCUGCGAGACUCUGGGGUUUGACUCCUAGUACAGCAAAGAAAAAGUAAAAUAAAAACAAGUAAUGAACUUAGCAAACACACUAGGAUCCUAGCGAGCCGAAAUGACAUCAUCCAUUUCUAGAAGGUAACGACGUUCUAUGCAGUUGGUUUCUUGUGACAAAUGUACUAUAAUCGUUUUAAAAAUGACGUUAGGGG